rnacentral:rRNA from 1 species
GCUUACGGCCAUACCACCCUGAAACACGCCCGAUCUCGUCUGAUCUCGGAAGCUAAGCAGGGUCGGGCCUGGUCAGUACUUGGAUGGGGAGACCGCCUGGAAUACCAGGUGCUGUAAAGC